CGUAACCUUCUGUGAGGAGAGCAGCACCAGAACGCUGCAGUAUGCAGCACAACCUGCUAGCCAGCAAAGUUUCUCAGUGUGUACUUGGGCAAGUGCAGGAUCAGACUGUCACAAGCUCUGGAAAACCAUUCGUCCCACUGCUGCAAACAAGACCGAAAUGAAAAGGUUUAUCAGCCUCUUCCGAAUGGGAGCUGACAACUACAGCUGGAUACUUGGCACUACUCUCUGGUGCUAUUAAAAUCAGAGAAAGUGGUGUCCCAGCAUCAUCAGGACUGGGCUCAAGGGCUCAACCUUUUAAAAGGCACAUCUGGACUCUCACUCACAGAGUUUUCCUUUUCUUUCCAGUCGUUUCAUGUCACUGGCUUUCCCUCCCUUAUAAGCAAAACAAGAAAUUUUCAAGGCAGCUAGAAAGCACUUUUUUUGCCAUUCAGCCAAGCCUGGGUGAAUCCCCCAUGUCCUUCCAGACCCACAUGCUUUUUCAGACCCCACUGUAAUCUGAUGUCUCCCCGCACACUGCGCUGACGGCAGCAAACCACUCUGCAAGCCUCAGCUGCAAUCCAGCAGCUUUGGUGUGGGGAACACUUGCUGCCAUGUGCAGGCUGGCACUAACAGGUUGGGCUCCCUGUCACCCGCUCCAUCACAGCCCUGUCCUGAAGCAGCUGCUCCCGGGGAGCUGGCAUGGCACAGCAGAGCGCAGCUGCGGUGCGACAGCCCACGUCACAGCACAGAGCACGCACCCAGCACUGACACACCACUCCCGUGCUUCACUGGCAGCUCUCACUUCCAGGACAUUCUUAACACAGGGCUAACAUCUCCUUGGCCCACCCCAAUAAAAGUGUUCACUGGUUAUGUGAACCAAGCACAGGGAACUCAUCGCUUUAAGAAACAAAAUCUGCUGCAGCUUCGCCCUCCUCUGCUCAAAAGACUCAUGGAUAAUUUACUUUACCAGAAACGAGAUUUUUACCUUAUGGUUUUGCCUAAAUAAUGAUAAUAAAUAAUAGAAUCUAAAAUCACAACGAAAUGUAGACCUAAAUCCAUCUGACAGUGGUCUGGAGAGCUGGGAGGAUUUUCUGAGAAUCCGUGUAGAAUUUGUCUUAUGACAAGGACAGACUUUUGCAGAGAAGACAGAUUUGGCAUCUGUCUUUUCACAGAGACUGGUCUACAAAAUCCUAUCUUAAGGAACCAUGAAGCUGCUGCCAGGCACAGUGAAAGGAAAAAGGGAGGCGAAAGAAAAGGAAAAAGACCAACCUCCUUUUAGUUUUCCAGUCCCUCCACAACUUUCUGGCAGCAGUAAGGGCGCUGCAGCAGAGCCAGGCAGGCUCCCCACCGCCCCCUGAAGCGCAUCACGCCGGGAUAUGCCCCAACAACCCACCUCACACUGCCACAGUGUGUUCAUCCUAAGGCAAAAACCCAUCAAACUUUAUACUUUACUAAUUACUGUAGCAGCUUAAUAGCUAUUCCACCAUUGGAGAACUUCCUACUAACAGCGUUUCUAUAAAAUUAAAAUAUAUCGUACCUCAUUAGCCAAGGGUGUUUCUGCAGCACAGUUAUACUUAGCGGAAACAAGGCUCAGUGUUCUACACAACCCUUUUUGAACCGUUUUUAAGAAAAUUGUUUUUCAGUUGUAUCCUUAGAAAUUCCUAAUGAUGAGCCAGAUUUCAUGAAGGCUGUGACUUGGCUAAUUUAUACAACAGCUAGAGAACUUCAAAAGUUAACCCAAGCUAGUGGCGUUAUUUAGUUCAGUGAAGCGGCUCAUUCUAAUUGGAUUAAAUUGUCAUGGGUUUUUUUAAUUUCAUAUUGAAAUCUCAAUUUAUCAUUUCCUAAUAUUUGCCCAAACACUGCAUCAGUAUCAUUUGCAUACCCUUCCCUCAAGACAAUCUCAGAUCCACAAAUAGAAAAGACCCCAAAUCCUCUGGCCGCUCCUCGCCGGCUCCUGCCACGAAAGGGUGGGAGAGAGGCUUUCCCAGAGGUACAAAUCCCGGCAACAGAGCUAAUUGCAUUAAACAGAGGGCCCGGUUAGCGAACACACUGGUGGCGCGGAAAAAGUGUAAACAGCGGCAUUAUCCCGAGCACCUCGCGGCGCGCCCGUGGGGAAGGGCCGGCCGAGUCCGCGGCAGGCUCGGGCUCCGCGGAGCCGGGACCUGGCCGGGAGGGCGCAGGGCGUUCGGUCUGAGGGGACUGGGAGGUCCUGAGCCGCGCAGCCAAGGGCAGCCGGAUUUCAAUUCAACUAAGCAACAAUUUCAGCACUGUUUGAUGUGGGGUAUACAUCCUGUGAGCAUCAAAACAAAUUAGUCUACAGUACAAGGAGAGACUGUGGUCUGGCUGUUUUCAAGAGAAAAUGCAGCUGGAGUUUUCAUGCAAGAGAAAAAGCUUCGUUUUCCUGCAUCAAGCUUUUUUUUUUUUAGUCUAAUUGCAAACUCCUCAGGUAUGUAGAAAAUGCUGCUUAUUAGGGGUGAAAUGAACUAAUAACUGCUGUCCCUUCAAGCUUGUAGAACAGUCUCCAGGGCAAGUCUGGUACCUGGGUGAGAAGAAUCACCACUUACUGCCAUGGUGUG